rnacentral:tRNA from 2 species
GCCGCGGUGGCUCAGUCGGUAGAGCGGCUCCUUGGUAAGGAGCAGGCCGAGGGUUCAAUUCCCUCCCGCGGCU